GGUCCAGUAGUGUAGUUGGUUAUCACAGCGGAUUCUGAAUUCAGGAUCUUCCGCUAACCUGGGUUCGACUCCCAGCCGGACCU